CCUGUUUGAUUUCUUAUUUGCCACAUGUGUUUUUCUUUGAACAAACUUGCUUUGGCGGUGGGCCCAGCCUGCCGCCAGAGGUCUAAACUUACAACCAAUUUUUUAUCAACUUGUCACACCAGAUUAUUACUAAUAAUCAAAACUUUCAACAACCGAUCUCUUGGUUCUCCCAUCCAUGAAAAACCCCACCAAAUGCCAUACCUAAUAUGAAUUGCAAAAAUUCCUGAAUCAUCCAAUCCUUGAACGCACAUUGGGCCCUCUGGUAUUCCCGAAGGCAUGGCUGGUUGAACGUCGGUUCUCCCUCCAACCGCUGGGUUUGGGGGUGAACAAUACCACUUGGGUUUGCUUGAAAGAACGGAGUGGUAAAGGGGGAUCCCUUUGACCAUGGCUUAGGGCUAACCAAAAACCUUGCUUGGGGCGGUAACCUCCACCACGUAUAUCUUCCAACUUUGACCUCCAAUCAGGGAGGACUACCCGCUGAACUUAAGCAUAUCCAUAAACCGAAGAAA
rnacentral:rRNA from 1 species